AUUAAUGUUGGCAGUGUGCCUAAUACAUGCAAGUCGAGCGAUAUAGCGGCAGACGAGAGAGUAAUAGGAAGGAACUUACCCCGAACUCAAGGAUAGCCACCCGAAAGGGUGGGUAAACCUGGAUAGUCCCGCAAGGGUAAAGAUUUAUCGGUUCGGGAGAGGCCUUCCUCCUAUCAGCUUGUUGGUGAGGUAAAAGCUUACCAAGGCAAUGACGGGUAGCUGGUCUGAGAGGAUGACCAGCCUCGAUGGGACUGAGACACGGCCCAUACUCCUACGGGAGGCAGCAGUAGGGAAUUUUGCACAAUGGACGCAAGUCUGAUGCAGCAACACUGCGUGAAGGAUGAAGGUUUUCGGAUCGUAAACUUCUUUUAUCAGGGAAUAAUCUUGAAGGUACCUGAUGAAUAAGCACCGGCUAACUACGU
rnacentral:rRNA from 1 species